CGGCGUCGAGCGGCGGACGGGUGAGUAAUGCCUAGGAAAUUGCCCUGAUGUGGGGGAUAACCAUUGGAAACGAUGGCUAAUACCGCAUGAUGCCUACGGGCCAAAGAGGGGGACCUUCGGGCCUCUCGCGUCAGGAUAUGCCUAGGUGGGAUUAGCUAGUUGGUGAGGUAAGGGCUCACCAAGGCGACGAUCCCUAGCUGGUCUGAGAGGAUGAUCAGCCACACUGGAACUGAGACACGGUCCAGACUCCUACGGGAGGCAGCAGUGGGGAAUAUUGCACAAUGGGCGCAAGCCUGAUGCAGCCAUGCCGCGUGUGUGAAGAAGGCCUUCGGGUUGUAAAGCACUUUCAGUCGUGAGGAAGGUAGUGUAGUUAAUAGCUGCAUUAUUUGACGUUAGCGACAGAAGAAGCACCGGCUAACUCCGUGCCAGCAGCCGCGGUAAUACGGCGGCGUCGUUAAUAGCGGCGUUGUUUGACGUUAGCGACAGAAGAAGCACCGGCUAACUCCGUGCCAGCAGCCGCGGUAAUACGGAGGGUGCGAGCGUUAAUCGGAAUUACUGGGCGUAAAGCGCAUGCAGGUGGUUUGUUAAGUCAGAUGUGAAAGCCCGGGGCUCAACCUCGGAAUUGCAUUUGAAACUGGCAGACUAGAGUACUGUAGAGGGGGGUAGAAUUUCAGGUGUAGCGGUGAAAUGCGUAGAGAUCUGAAGGAAUACCGGUGGCGAAGGCGGCCCCCUGGACAGAUACUGACACUCAGAUGCGAAAGCGUGGGGAGCAAACAGGAUUAGAUACCCUGGUAGUCCACGCCGUAAACGAUGUCUACUUGGAGGUUGUGGCCUUGAGCCGUGGCUUUCGGAGCUAACGCGUUAAGUAGACCGCCUGGGGAGUACGGUCGCAAGAUUAAAACUCAAAUGAAUUGACGGGGGCCCGCACAAGCGGUGGAGCAUGUGGUUUAAUUCGAUGCAACGCGAAGAACCUUACCUACUCUUGACAUCCAGAGAACUUUCCAGAGAUGGAUUGGUGCCUUCGGGAACUCUGAGACAGGUGCUGCAUGGCUGUCGUCAGCUCGUGUUGUGAAAUGUUGGGUUAAGUCCCGCAACGAGCGCAACCCUUAUCCUUGUUUGCCAGCGAGUAAUGUCGGGAACUCCAGGGAGACUGCCGGUGAUAAACCGGAGGAAGGUGGGGACGACGUCAAGUCAUCAUGGCCCUUACGAGUAGGGCUACACACGUGCUACAAUGGCGCAUACAGAGGGCGGCCAACUUGCGAAAGUGAGCGAAUCCCAAAAAGUGCGUCGUAGUCCGGAUUGGAGUCUGCAACUCGACUCCAUGAAGUCGGAAUCGCUAGUAAUCGUGGAUCAGAAUGCCACGGUGAAUACGUUCCCGGGCCUUGUACACACCGCCCGUCACACCAUGGGAGUGGGCUGCAAAAGAAGUAGGUAGUUUAACCUUCGGGGGGACGCUUACCACUUUGUGGUUCAUGACUGGGGUGAAGUCGUAACAAGGUAGCGCUAGGGGAACCUGGCGCUGGAUCACCUCCUUAAACGAUGAU
rnacentral:rRNA from 1 species